CCUACGGGGUGCAGCAGUCGAGAAUCAUUCACAAUGGGGGAAACCCUGAUGGUGCGACGCCGCGUGGGGGAAUGAAGGUCUUCGGAUUGUAAACCCCUGUCAUGUGGGAGCAAAUUAAAAAGAUAGUACCACACGAGGAAGAGACGGCUAACUCUGUGCCAGCAGCCGCGGUAAUACAGAGGUCUCAAGCGUUGUUCGGAAUCACUGGGCGUAAAGCGUGCGUAGGCUGUUUCGUAAGUCGUGGGUGAAAGGCGCGGGCUCAACCCGCGGACGGCACAUGAUACUGCGAGACUAGAGUAAUGGAGGGGGAACCGGAAUUCUCGGUGUAGCAGUGAAAUGCGUAGAUAUCGAGAGGAACACUCGUGGCGAAGGCGGGUUCCUGGACAGUAACUGACGCUGAGGCACGAAGGCCAGGGGAGCGAAAGGGAUUAGAUACCCCAGUAGUC
rnacentral:rRNA from 1 species